GUAGGAAACAUCUUUGUAUAUGCUGUCCUUUGAAGUUGGUGAUCAUUUCUUAUGUGAUGGAAAAUGUUGUGCUUGGCUGGAACACAUACUGUUGGCAUCAACAUGCCGUCUUUGAUUGCAUAUGUUCAAGCAGGUCUAUGCCAACAUGAAGAGCAUCUUAUUCACCUGUGUAGGAAGUUAUGAGCAACAUAUAUCUUAUAUCCAAAAAGGCCCACCAGAUGAUGAAAGAGCUAUUCCAGGUGAAAUUCCAUUAAGUGAAUGCGCCAUGAUCAUUGGCAGGAACUACUUGUUUGCAAUUGGCUUGCCUGACUUGAGAAGAUGCUGUUUGAUCCUCCAUGUGGUUAUUGUAUGAUAUUGGUUCAAAUCUGCACCCAGUCAGAUAGUUACAUUUGGAGAAUCAAAUCACUUUCUGGUUGAAGAACUUCGGUAUGAGGCGCUUGACUCGUCUUGGUCAGGGAAAUGGUGAAAGUCAAGCCAAUCAUUAAACAUGCUUUCCUUGCUCAUGUUGUUCUAAACUUUCUUAUGUGGAAAACUACCACACUAGCACUCUUCUUCCACCACUUGUACUUUUAAUAUAUGGUAUUAAUUUUGUCCA